CUACGGGGGGCUCCAGUGGGGAAUAUUGGACAAUGGGGGAAACCCUGAUCCAGCAAUGCCGCGUGUGUGAAGAAGGCCUGCGGGUUGUAAAGCACUUUCGGUUGGGAGGACUGCUUCUAGCACUAAUAUUGUUGGAAGUUGACGUUACCUUCAGAAGAAGCACCGGCUAACUCCGUGCCAGCAGCCGCGGUAAUACGGAGGGUGCAAGCGUGUAAUCGGAAUUACUGGGCGUAAAGCGCGCGUAGGCGGCUAGAUCAGUCGGGUGUGAAAGCCCCGGGCUUAACCUGGGAACUGCAUCCGAUACUGUCUAGCUUGAGUACAGGAGAGGAGAGUGGAAUUCCACAUGUAGCGGUGAAAUGCGUAGAUAUGUGGAGGAACACCAAUGGCGAAGGCAACUCUCUGGCCUGAUACUGACGCUGAGGUGCGAAAGCGUGGGGAGCAAACAGGAUUAGAUACCCCAGUAGUC
rnacentral:rRNA from 1 species